rnacentral:rRNA from 1 species
UGGGGAAUUUUGGACAAUGGGCGCAAGCCUGAUCCAGCCAUGCCGCGUGCGGGAAGAAGGCCUUCGGGUUGUAAACCGCUUUUGUCAGGGAAGAAAUCUUCUGAGUUAAUACCUCGGGAGGAUGACGGUACCUGAAGAAUAAGCACCGGCUAACUACGUGCCAGCAGCCGCGGUAAAUACGUAGGGUGCAAGCGUUAAUCGGAAUACUGGGCGUAAAGCGUGCGCAGGCGGUUUUGUAAGACAGAGGUGAAAUCCCCGGGCUCAACCUGGGAACUGCCUUUGUGACUGCAAGGCUUGAGUGCGGCAGAGGGGGAUGGAAUUCCGCGUGUAGCAGUGAAAUUGCGUAGAUAUGCGGAGGAACACCGAUGGCGAAGGCAAUCCCCUGGGCCUGCACUGACGCUCAUGCACGAAAGCGUGGGGAGCAAACAGGAUUAGAUACCCUGGUAGUCCACGCCCUAAAACGAUGUCAACUGGUUGUUGGGAAGGUUCCUUCUCAGUAACGUAGCUAACGCGUGAAGUUGACCG